GGCCCUGUUGCGCAAUGGAUAACGCGUCUGACGCGGAUCGGAAGAUUCCAGGUUCGAAUCCUGGCAGAGUCG
rnacentral:tRNA from 1 species